CGUUUUAUAAUAAAAUAAUAAAUAAAAUAUAAAUAAACAUACUAAAACAUAAUCAUAGUCUAAUAUAAAUAUUAAAAUGUCAUCCAAAUUAAAAAUACUAAAUCAACGAAAAUGUUAUAACCUCAUCCAAGUACAAACCCAAAAGUCAAAUAACAAAAGAAAUAUCCAAUGCCAAUAUUAAAGUUUGUUACCAAUUAUCAAAAUCCGCAAAAAUCUAUUCUUCUUAAUUUAAAACAAGUAGAAAAAAUUAUGCUUCAAGUUUUGUGAAUGGCUUUAAUUCAAUAGGCAAGGGACAACGGUGAAACAAUAGAAGAUAAUCAUAAUACUAGCCUAUGGUUAAAUACUUAUUGGAUAUGAAUCAAGAAUUCAUUCCUGAACAUUAAUGUAGUGCAUACCGGAAAUUAAAAUCA